CAUCUAUUAUCCAUCUAUCCAUCCAUCCAUCCAUCUAGUAUCCAUCUAUCCAUCAAUCCAUCUAUCCAUCCAUCUAUUAUCCAUCCAUCCAUCAAUCUAUCUAUUAUCCAUCCAUCCAUCAAUCCAUCUAUUAUCCAUCUAUCCAUCCAUCCAUCCGUCCAUCUAUUAUCCAUCUAUCCAUCCAUCCAUCAAUCUAUCUAUUUAUAUGUAUCUGUAGACGCGGCGUUUUGGAGCAAGAGUUACAAUCAAGUGCACACUAAGGAUAAUAUUUCGAUUUUUAUUAUUAGUUUAUUCCGAAUCAGUGCUGGACACCAGGCUGCGGGAGUGGAGAGGACAGCAGAAACACUUCGCUGCACACGGACACUUGAGAGUUCAGUUCUCCGCGGGGCGCUUUUAGUUUACGAAGGACGGCGAUUCGAUUCGAUUGUGAGCUAUUAUGUCAGAGUGGACAAAACAGUCCGUUACACUUACAGUCCGCUCGCUCGGCUUGUUUUUAUUUAUUCUUAUUUUUCCGUUUUACCCAAAUUAGGAGGGAACUCAGAGGAGGAGGUGGGCAGGAUGGACGGCAAAAACCGCAACCACGUUUCGUUUCGUUUCAUUCAUUCAUUCAUCCAUUCAUCCAUUCAUUCAAUCGCCGGCUCGCUCACAGCACAGGCCCCUCACCCAGCAGCCGCCGGCGUGUCUUGUGAGCGCGUCCCCGCUCCGACGCGCGCUCUCGCACUGUCACUGUGUCGCCGGUCGAUCACUCCUUGGUCCUUCCUCAUCCUCCUCCUCCUUUUGGUGUUUAAUUCGUGUUUGUCAAAACAACAUCCCGCAUCUCCACGUCCACCCACCGCGCCUCCCUUUUCCUCCCCACUUACCCCUGCCUGCGUGUGUGCACGCGCCGCGUUUCGCGCUCGCCUUCCCCGCCGCGGUCGCGCUGCGCGUCCUCGCCCCACUAGCCUCCGGCUGUCACCUCCCCACGCACCCGCAUCACUCGCGACCGCAGCUGCACCCACGCGCGUUUAUUCCCUUCAUUGCACUUUCGGUAUGAGUUCCCUGAAUUCAGGCCUCCUCCGGUCACCGCGCCGCACCGCACCGAAACGCACCUCCUGUUGUUGGAAGCUGAGUAAAACCUCCUCGCAAGCGUCCCGCGCGUUUACCACAUUUUACGUGAGGAGGAGGUGCUCCUUUUCCUUUUUAAGUGGAAAAUUGAAGGAGAAAAACCCCAAAGACAGCAAGCCCCAGACCCCCCGUUGGGGAAAAAACUGCCUGUUCAACUUCAAACCCGGAUGCUGCUUCUACAAGGGCAAGUGCUGCCCGAGUGCCCCGCGCACGCGGCCAGGUGAAUGAAGAGCGCAUCCCAGAAGUGAACGGCCCCUACCUCGAGAUGCCGCCUUCUUCCAGUGCCACAAGGUUGCCUGGCUAGUUUCUCC
rnacentral:lncRNA from 1 species